AAACCAGCACCUCAAGUGGUCAGGAUGAUUAUUGGGCCUAAAGCAUCCGUAGCCGGCUCUGUAAGUUUUCGGUUAAAUCUGUACGCUCAACGUACAGGCUGCCGGGAAUACUGCAGAGCUAGGGAGUGGGAGAGGUAGACGGUACUCGGGAGGAAGUGGUAAAAUGCUUUGAUCUCUCGAUGACCACCUGUGGCGAAGGCGGUCUACCAGAACACGUCCGACGGUGAGGGAUGAAAGCUGGGGGAGCAAACCGGAUUAGAAACCCCUGUAGUCC
rnacentral:rRNA from 1 species